rnacentral:rRNA from 1 species
UGCGUAGGCGGGUUUUUAAGUCAGGGGUGAAAUCCUGGAGCUCAACUCCAGAACUGCCUUUGAUACUGAAGAUCUUGAGUUCGGGAGAGGUGAGUGGAACUGCGAGUGUAGAGGUGAAAUUCGUAGAUAUUCGCAAGAACACCAGUGGCGAAGGCGGCUCACUGGCCCGAUACUGACGCUGAGGCACGAAAGCGUGGGGGAGCAAACA